GUUAUAUGGUCAAGUGAAGAAGCGCAUACGGUGGAUGCCUUGGCAGUCAGAGGCGAUGAAAGACGUGGUAGCCUGCGAAAAGCUUCGGGGAGUCGGCAAACAGACUGUGAUCCGGAGAUGUCUGAAUGGGGGAACCCAGCUGUCAUAAGACAGUUACCUUACACUGAAUACAUAGGUGUAUGGAGCGAACCAGGGGAACUGAAACAUCUAAGUACCCUGAGGAAAAGAAAUCAACCGAGAUUCCCUUAGUAGUGGCGAGCGAACGGGGACCAGCCCUUAAGUUGUAUUGAGAUUAGCGGAACGCUCUGGAAAGUGCGGCCAUAGUGGGUGAUAGCCCUGUACGCGAAAAUCUCUUUGCAAUGAAAUCGAGUAGGACGGGGCACGAGAAACCUUGUCUGAAUAUGGGGGGACCAUCCUCCAAGGCUAAAUACUACUGACUGACCGAUAGUGAACCAGUACCGUGAGGGAAAGGCGAAAAGAACCGCGGAGAGCGGAGUGAAAUAGAUCCUGAAACCGUAUGCGUACAAGCAGUGGGAGCCCACUUUGUUGGGUGACUGCGUACCUUUUGUAUAAUGGGUCAGCGACUUAUUUUCAGUGGCAAGCUUAACCGAAUAGGGGAGGCGUAGCGAAAGCGAGUCUUAAUAGGGCGUCAAGUCGCUGGGAAUAGACCCGAAACCGGGCGAUCUAUCCAUGGGCAGGUUGAAGGUUAGGUAACACUGACUGGAGGACCGAACCGACUACCGUUGAAAAGUUAGCGGAUGACCUGUGGAUCGGAGUGAAAGGCUAAUCAAGCUCGGAGAUAGCUGGUUCUCCUCGAAAGCUAUUUAGGUAGCGCCUCAUGUAUCACUGUAGGGGGUAGAGCACUGUUUCGGCUAGGGGGUCAUCCCGACUUACCAAACCGAUGCAAACUCCGAAUACCUACAAGUGCCGAGCAUGGGAGACACACGGCGGGUGCUAACGUCCGUCGUGAAAAGGGAAACAACCCAGACCGUCAGCUAAGGUCCCAAAAUCCUGGUUAAGUGGGAAACGAUGUGGGAAGGCUUAGACAGCUAGGAGGUUGGCUUAGAAGCAGCCACCCUUUAAAGAAAGCGUAAUAGCUCACUAGUCGAGUCGGCCUGCGCGGAAGAUGUAACGGGGCUCAAACCAGGUACCGAAGCUACGGGUAUCAUCUUAGGAUGAUGCGGUAGAGGAGCGUUCUGUAAGCCUGUGAAGGUGAGUUGAGAAGCUUGCUGGAGGUAUCAGAAGUGCGAAUGCUGACAUGAGUAACGACAAUGGGUGUGAAAAACACCCACGCCGAAAGACCAAGGUUUCCUGCGCAACGUUAAUCGACGCAGGGUUAGUCGGUCCCUAAGGCGAGGCUGAAAAGCGUAGUCGAUGGAAAACAGGUUAAUAUUCCUGUACUUCUGGUUAUUGCGAUGGAGGGACGGAGAAGGCUAGGCCAGCCUGGCGUUGGUUGUCCAGGUUUAAGGUGGUAGGCUGGAAUCUUAGGUAAAUCCGGGAUUCUAAGGCCGAGAGCUGAUGACGAGUGUCCUUUAGGACACGAAGUGGUUGAUGCCAUGCUUCCAAGAAAAGCUUCUAAGCUUCAGGUAACCAGGAACCGUACCCCAAACCGACACAGGUGGUUGGGUAGAGAAUACCAAGGCGCUUGAGAGAACUCGGGUGAAGGAACUAGGCAAAAUGGCACCGUAACUUCGGGAGAAGGUGCGCCGGUGAGGGUGAAGCAUUUACUGCGUAAGCCCACGCCGGUCGAAGAUACCAGGCCGCUGCGACUGUUUAUUAAAAACACAGCACUCUGCAAACACGAAAGUGGACGUAUAGGGUGUGACGCCUGCCCGGUGCCGGAAGGUUAAUUGAUGGGGUUAGCGCAAGCGAAGCUCUUGAUCGAAGCCCCGGUAAACGGCGGCCGUAACUAUAACGGUCCUAAGGUAGCGAAAUUCCUUGUCGGGUAAGUUCCGACCUGCACGAAUGGCGUAACGAUGGCGGCGCUGUCUCCACCCGAGACUCAGUGAAAUUGAAAUCGCUGUGAAGAUGCAGUGUAUCCGCGGCUAGACGGAAAGACCCCGUGAACCUUUACUAUAGCUUUGCACUGGACUUUGAAUUUGCUUGUGUAGGAUAGGUGGGAGGCUUUGAAGCGUGGACGCCAGUCUGCGUGGAGCCAACCUUGAAAUACCACCCUGGCAACUUUGAGGUUCUAACUCAGGUCCGUUAUCCGGAUCGAGGACAGUGUAUGGUGGGUAGUUUGACUGGGGCGGUCUCCUCCUAAAGAGUAACGGAGGAGUACGAAGGUGCGCUCAGACCGGUCGGAAAUCGGUCGUAGAGUAUAAAGGCAAAAGCGCGCUUGACUGCGAGACAGACACGUCGAGCAGGUACGAAAGUAGGUCUUAGUGAUCCGGUGGUUCUGUAUGGAAGGGCCAUCGCUCAACGGAUAAAAGGUACUCCGGGGAUAACAGGCUGAUACCGCCCAAGAGUUCAUAUCGACGGCGGUGUUUGGCACCUCGAUGUCGGCUCAUCACAUCCUGGGGCUGAAGCCGGUCCCAAGGGUAUGGCUGUUCGCCAUUUAAAGUGGUACGCGAGCUGGGUUUAGAACGUCGUGAGACAGUUCGGUCCCUAUCUGCCGUGGACGUUUGAGAUUUGAGAGGGGCUGCUCCUAGUACGAGAGGACCGGAGUGGACGAACCUCUGGUGUUCCGGUUGUCACGCCAGUGGCAUUGCCGGGUAGCUAUGUUCGGAAAAGAUAACCGCUGAAAGCAUCUAAGCGGGAAACUUGCCUCAAGAUGAGAUCUCACUGGAACCUUGAGUUCCCUGAAGGGCCGUCGAAGACUACGACGUUGAUAGGUUGGGUGUGUAAGCGCUGUGAGGCGUUGAGCUAACCAAUACUAAUUGCCCGUGAGGCUUGACCAUAUAACACCCAAGCA
rnacentral:rRNA from 1 species